AAAUAUUUGAUAACAAUUUACAUAUCCUUAAUUAUUUUUGUUUGAUGUUUUUUUUUUGUCAUCAUUUCUGUUUGAUGUUAUAUUAUUAAAAUAAAUUAAGCAAUAAUAUUAACCAUAUAAUAAAAUUGGAAAAUUGCCAAAAAUACCAUUUUCAAAGUACCACUUUUCAUGUUUACACUAACCACUUUUAUCCUCAUCUUUAAUGAAGGGUAAAAAACAUUUAUAACCUUUUGAUUAACUUUGACAAAAAAAAAACAUAUUGUUACCUAAUCUAAACAUAAAACAUCAACUCUAAACCCUAAACCAUGAAACAUCAACUCUAAACCCUAAAACCCGAAACAUCAACUCUAAACCCUAAACCCUAAACCCUAAACCUUCAAAUCUAAACCAUAAAACAUCAACUCUAAACCGUAAACGUAAACCGUAAACGUAAACCCUAAACCUAAAUCUAAACUUAAAACAUCAACUUUAGACCCUAAAUCAUCAACUCUAAACCCUAAACCAAGAAACAUCAACUCUAAACCCUAAACCCUAAACCCUAAACCUUCAAAUCUAAACCCUAAAACAUCAAC
rnacentral:lncRNA from 1 species